UGGGCGCAAGCCUGAUCCAGCAAUGCCGCGUGUGUGAAGAAGGCCUGCGGGUUGUAAAGCACUUUAAGCAGGGAGGAGGGGUACUGGCGUGAAUAGCGUUGGUAUUGACGUUACCUGCAGAAUAAGCACCGGCUAACUUCGUGCCAGCAGCCGCGGUAAUACGAAGGGUGCAAGCGUUAAUCGGAAUUACUGGGCGUAAAGCGCGUGUAGGCGGUUAUUUAAGUCAGAUGUGAAAGCCCCGGGCUCAACCUGGGAAUGGCAUUUGAUACUGGGUAACUGGAAUGUGGUAGAGGGAGGCGGAAUUUCCGGUGUAGCGGUGAAAUGCGUAGAUAUCGGAAAGAACACCAAUGGCGAAGGCAGCCUCCUGGGCCAACAUUGACGCUGAGACGCGAAAGCGUGGGGAGCAAACAGGAUUAGAUACCCUGGUAGUCCACGCCCUAAACGAUGAGAACUGGACGGUGGGGAGGUCACUCUUCGCUGUUGAAGCUAACGCGUUAAGU
rnacentral:rRNA from 1 species